GACGAACGCUGGCGGCGUGCUUAACACAUGCAAGUCGAACGGUAAGGCCCUUCGGGGUACAUGAGUGGCGAACGGGUGAGUAACACGUGGGUGAUCUGCCCUGCACUUCGGGAUAAGCCUGGGAAACUGGGUCUAAUACCGGAUAGGACUCCGGACUGCAUGGUGUGGGGGGGAAAGCUUUUGCGGUGUGGGAUGGGCCCGCGGCCUAUCAGCUUGUUGGUGGGGUGAUGGCCUACCAAGGCGACGACGGGUAGCCGGCCUGAGGGGGUGACCGGCCACACUGGGACUGAGAUACGGCCCAGACUCCUACGGGAGGCAGCAGUGGGAAAUAUUGCACAAUGGGCGCAAGCCUGAUGCAGCGACGCCGCGUGAGGGAUGACGGCCUUCGGGUUGUAAACCUCUUUCAGCAUCGACGAAGCGAAAGUGACGGUAGGUGCAGAAGAAGGACCGGCCAACUACGUGCCAGCCGCCGCCGUAA
rnacentral:rRNA from 1 species